rnacentral:rRNA from 1 species
UACGGGGGGGGCAAGCGUUGUUCGGAAUUACUGGGCGUAAAGGGCUCGUAGGCGGCCAACUAAGUCAUACGUGAAAUCCCUCGGCUUAACCGGGGAACUGCGUCUGAUACUGGAUGGCUUGAGUUCGGGAGAGGGAUGCGGAAUUCCAGGUGUAGCGGUGAAAUGCGUAGAUAUCUGGAGGAACACCGGUGGCGAAGGCGGCGAUCUGGGCAGAUACGUGACGCUGAGGUGCGAAAGCGUGGGGAGCAAACAGG